rnacentral:rRNA from 1 species
UACGGGGGGUGCAAGCGUUAUUCGGAAUUAUUGGGCGUAAAGGGCGCGCAGGCGGCUUAUUAAGUCAGAUGUGAAAGCCCGGGGCUUAACCCCGGAAGUGCAUUUGAAACUAAUAGGCUUGAGUAUGGGAGAGGGAAGUGGAAUUCCUGGUGUAGAGGUGAAAUUCGUAGAUAUCAGGAGGAACACCUGUGGCGAAGGCGACUUCCUGGACCAAUACUGACGCUGAGGCGCGAAGGCGUGGGGAGCAAACAGG